rnacentral:rRNA from 1 species
GGCUCAGGACGAACGCUGGCGGCGUGCUUAACACAUGCAAGUCGAGCGGAAAGGCCCUUCGGGGUACUCGAGCGGCGAACGGGUGAGUAACACGUGAGCAACCUGCCCUAGGCUUUGGGAUAACCCCGGGAAACCGGGGCUAAUACCGAAUAUGACCUCCGAUCGCAUGGUUGGUGGUGGAAAGUUUUUCGGCCUGGGAUGGGCUCGCGGCCUAUCAGCUUGUUGGUGGGGUGAUGGCCUACCAAGGCGACGACGGGUAGCCGGCCUGAGAGGGCGACCGGCCACACUGGGACUGAGACACGGCCCAGACUCCUACGGGAGGCAGCAGUGGGGAAUAUUGCACAAUGGGCGGAAGCCUGAUGCAGCGACGCCGCGUGAGGGAUGACGGCCUUCGGGUUGUAAACCUCUUUCAGCAGGGACGAAGCGUAAGUGACGGUACCUGCAGAAGAAGCGCCGGCCAACUACGUGCCAGCAGCCGCGGUAAGACGUAGGGCGCGAGCGUUGUCCGGAUUUAUUGGGCGUAAAGAGCUCGUAGGCGGCUUGUCGCGUCGACUGUGAAAACCCGCAGCUCAACUGCGGGCCUGCAGUCGAUACGGGCAGGCUAGAGUUCGGUAGGGGAGACUGGAAUUCCUGGUGUAGCGGUGAAAUGCGCAGAUAUCAGGAGGAACACCGGUGGCGAAGGCGGGUCUCUGGGCCGAUACUGACGCUGAGGAGCGAAA